rnacentral:rRNA from 1 species
GACGAACGCUGGCGGCGUGCUUAACACAUGCAAGUCGAACGGAAAGGCCCUGCUUUUGUGGGGUGCUCGAGUGGCGAACGGGUGAGUAACACGUGAGUAACCUGCCCUUGACUUUGGGAUAACUUCAGGAAACUGGGGCUAAUACCGGAUAGGAGCUCCUGCUGCAUGGUGGGGGUUGGAAAGUUUCGGCGGUUGGGGAUGGACUCGCGGCUUAUCAGCUUGUUGGUGGGGUAGUGGCUUACCAAGGCUUUGACGGGUAGCCGGCCUGAGAGGGUGACCGGGCACAUUGGGACUGCGAUACGGCCCAGACUCCUACGGGAGGCAGCAGUGGGGAAUAUUGCGCAAUGGGCGGAAGCCUGAGGCAGCAACGCCGCGUGCGGGAUGACGGCCUUCGGGUUGUAAACCGCUUUCGCCUGUGACGAAGCGUGAGUGACGGUAAUGGGUAAAGAAGCACCGGCUAACUACGUG